rnacentral:rRNA from 1 species
AUUGAACGCUGGCGGCCUGCCUAACACAUGCAAGUCGAACGAGCGGCGGACGGGUAAGUAAUGCCUAGGCAUUGCCCAGUCCAGGUGGAUACCAGUUGGAAACGACUGCUAAUCCCUCAUACGACUUUCUUUCCCAGGUGGGAUUAGCUCGUUGGUGAGGUAAUGGCUCACCAAGGCCACGCUCCCUAGCUGGUCUGAGAGGAUGAUCUGCCAAACUGGAACUGAGACACGGGCCAAACUCCUACGGGAGGCAGCAGUGGGGAAUAGUGGACAAUGGGGGAAACCCUGAUGCAGCAAUGCCGCGUGGGUGAAGAAGGUUUUCGGGUCGUAAAGCACUGUCAGUGAGGAGGCGUUACUCGAAGAAGAAGCAACGGCUAACUCCGUGCCAGCAGCCGCGGGAAUAC